UACAGAGGUCUCAAGCGUUGUUCGGAUUCAUUGGGCGUAAAGGGUGCGUAGGCGGCGCGGUAAGUCGGCUGUGAAAGUCAAGGGCUCAACCCUUGAAAGCCGGCCGAUACUGUCGGACUAGAGUCCGGAAGAGGCGAGUGGAAUUCCCGGUGUAGCGGUGAAAUGCGCAGAUAUCAGGAAGAACACCUAUGGCGAAGGCAGCUCUCUGGGACGGUACUGACGCUGAGACGCGAAAGCGUGGGGAGCGAACAGG
rnacentral:rRNA from 1 species